AUUGAACGCUGGCGGCAUGCCUUACACAUGCAAGUCGAACGGCAGCACGGGAGCAAUCCUGGUGGCGAGUGGCGAACGGGUGAGUAAUAUAUCGGAACGUGCCCAGUCGUGGGGGAUAACGCAGCGAAAGCUGUGCUAAUACCGCAUACGAUCUAAGGAUGAAAGCGGGGGAUCGCAAGACCUCGCGCGAUUGGAGCGGCCGAUAUCAGAUUAGCUAGUUGGUGGGGUAAAGGCCCACCAAGGCGACGAUCUGUAGCUGGUCUGAGAGGACGAACAGCCACACUGGGACUGAGACACGGCCCAGACUCCUACGGGAGGCAGCAGUGGGGAAUUUUGGACAAUGGGCGCAAGCCUGAUCCAGCCAUGCCGCGUGCAGGAUGAAGGCCUCCGGGUUGUAAACUGCUUUUGUACGGAACGAAAAAGCUCUCUCUAAUACAGGGGGUGAAUGACGGUACCGUAAGAAUAAGCACCGGCUAACUACGUGCCAGCAGCCGCCGCAGUAA
rnacentral:rRNA from 1 species